UACGUAGGGUGCAAGCGUUGUCCGGAAUUAUUGGGCGUAAAGAGCUCGUAGGCGGUCUGUCGCGUCGGAUGUGAAAAUCCAGGGCUCAACCCUGGACCUGCAUUCGAUACGGGCAGACUAGAGUUCGGCAGGGGAGACUGGAAUUCCUGGUGUAGCGGUGAAAUGCGCAGAUAUCAGGAGGAACACCAAUAGCGAAGGCAGCUCGCUGGGACGGUACUGACGCUAAGGCGCGAAAGCGUGGGGAGCGAACAGG
rnacentral:rRNA from 1 species